UACGUAGGGUGCAAGCGUUAUUCGGAAUUACUGGGCGUAAAGCGUGCGCAGGCGGCUUUGCAAGACAGAUGUGAAAUCCCCGGGCUUAACCUGGGAACUGCAUUUGAGACUGCAUGGCUGGAGUGCGGCAGAGGGGAAUGGAAUUCCGCGUGUAGCGGUGAAAUGCGUAGAUAUGCGGAGGAACACCGGUGGCGAAGGCGAUCCCCUGGGCCUGCACUGACGCUCAUGCGCGAAAGCGUGGGGAGCAAACAGG
rnacentral:rRNA from 1 species